rnacentral:rRNA from 1 species
AGUUUGAUCCUGGCUCAGAUUGAACGCUGGCGGCAUGCCUUACACAUGCAAGUCGAACGGCAGCACGGGGGCAACCCUGGUGGCGAGUGGCGAACGGGUGAGUAAUACAUCGGAACGUGUCCUGUAGUGGGGGAUAGCCCGGCGAAAGCCGGAUUAAUACCGCAUACGCUCUACGGAGGAAAGGGGGGGAUCUUCGGACCUCUCGUUAUAGGGGCGGCCGAUGGCAGAUUAGCUAGUUGGUGGGGUAAAGGCCUACCAAGGCGACGAUCUGUAGCUGGUCUGAGAGGACGACCAGCCACACUGGGACUGAGACACGGCCCAGACUCCUACGGGAGGCAGCAGUGGGGAAUUUUGGACAAUGGGCGCAAGCCUGAUCCAGCAAUGCCGCGUGUGUGAAGAAGGCCUUCGGGUUGUAAAGCACUUUUGUCCGGAAAGAAAACCUCUGCCCUAAUACGGCGGGGGGAUGACGGUACCGGAAGAAUAAGCACCGGCUAACUACGUGCCAGCAGCCGCGGUAAUACGUAGGGUGCAAGCGUUAAUCGGAAUUACUGGGCGUAAAGCGUGCGCAGGCGGUCCGCUAAGACAGAUGUGAAAUCCCCGGGCUUAACCUGGGAACUGCAUUUGUGACUGGCGGGCUAGAGUAUGGCAGAGGGGGGUAGAAUUCCACGUGUAGCAGUGAAAUGCGUAGAGAUGUGGAGGAAUACCGAUGGCGAAGGCAGCCCCCUGGGCCAAUACUGACGCUCAUGCACGAAAGCGUGGGGAGCAAACAGGAUUAGAUACCCUGGUAGUCCACGCCCUAAACGAUGUCAACUGGUUGUCGGGUCUUCAUUGACUUGGUAACGUAGCUAACGCGUGAAGUUGACCGCCUGGGGAGUACGGUCGCAAGAUUAAAACUCAAAGGAAUUGACGG